UGAGCAAUCUGCCCUUCUCAUCGGAAUAAGCGUUGGGAACGACGUCUAAUGCCGAAUACGACCUCCUUUCGCAUGAUCGGAGGUGGAAAGCUCCGGCGGAGAAGGAUGAGCUCGCGGCCUAUCAGCUAGUUGGUGUGGGUAACGGCCCACCAAGGCGACGACGGGUAGCCGGCCUGAGAGGGUGACCGGCCACACUGGGACUGAGACACGGCCCAGACUCCGUACGGGAGGNAGCG
rnacentral:rRNA from 1 species